GUCAGGAUGGCUGAGCGGUCUAAGGCGCUGCAGUCAGGUUGCUGUCUGCCCUUGAGGUGAGGGUUCGAAUCCUUCUGACA